AAAGUGCUCCUUUUUUUGUCUUUGCAAAACAGAAAAUAAAAAAGUUUAUAAAAAUGAAAUCAAUUAAGUUAAAUAUUAAGUUAUAUCUCCAAUCAUGAUAUGAUCUAGAGUUCUUAAGAUUUUUCAAUGCGAGUACGAGAUUAAGAGUCCAGGCGAAGUGGAAGACGAUAUUAUUUUUACUUAAGGUAAGGUUUUCUUAUUAUUGUUUUUUCUUAUUUGGAAAAGUCCGUUUGAUUUUCUUUUUCUAUGUAGUUUUUAAAUUACUUAUGCAUUUUUAAUUGUAUCUGUUUUGGCCAUAUUCUGUAUUCAAUUUUUAUCAUAUACUCUGCACUGCAUUUUUCAUUACAAUUGCUUAAAGGGUAAACCCCCAUGAUGUGGUAAAGGAGGAUGUUUAGGGAAACAGUGAGUGGAGAUUCCCUGGCAGAGACCAGAGAGAUCCCAAUGAGGUAAUACCUUCACGUUCGGUUCGGUAAGAUAUGUUGUCAGGACUAAGAAGCAACCAAUUAAACAAUCUCAGUUUACUCAAACCAUACAAAGUACAUACUCUCUGCACCCAAACCUGCUAAAAUUUGCCUUAUUUUUUUUUGUUUUUGUAAAUUUUUGAGUGAAUGAAUUAACAAAUUUCUUUUAUUUUUGGGUUUGAAUCCGUGCUGACAUAAUCAAUCAAUGGUAUUCUUUUCUGUUUUCUUUUGUUUUUUUAAUUCAAUAGGAUUUAAUUUUUUAUUGCUUUUGGCUAAUUUGUGUUUUAUACAAUUUCGCUAAUUUUGUUUACUUGUAUCAUUUUUCUCUAGGCUAAUUUUUUACAGGUAUAUUUUUCUAUGUUUUAUGAGCUUUCGGUAAGUUUUCUAUAGAUCACCAUUUGCAAAUUUCUUAAUGACAAAUAUUUUUCCAAAGGUACUUCCUCCCCUUCUCUCCUUGUUUGUUGUUUUUUUGUCACAUAUCUUCAUUUGGUGAUAGGAAUAAAUUUAUAUCCCCUUAUGAAAAUUGAAUCAUACAAUUGUUGCUUCUUUGUUCUUUAACUUGGAAAGUUGUAAUUUUCUUUGGAUCUUCUUCAUAUGUUUGUAAUGUGACAG
rnacentral:lncRNA from 1 species